UAGACUUCUGGAGUUAAGCCAGGGAAAGAUU
rnacentral:piRNA from 1 species